AUGGACGAAAGUCUGACGGAGCAACGCCGCGUGAGUGAAGAAGGUUUUCGGAUCGUAAAACUCUGUUGUAAGGGAAGAACACGUACCGCUAACUACUGGUACCUUGACGGUACCUUACCAGAAAGCCACGGCUAACUACGUGCCAGCAGCCGCGGUAAUACGUAGGUGGCAAGCGUUGUCCGGAAUUAUUGGGCGUAAAGCGCGCGCAGGCGGUCCCUUAAGUCUGAUGUGAAAGCCCACGGCUCAACCGUGGAGGGUCAUUGGAAACUGGGGGACUUGAGUGCAGAAGAGGAAAGUGGAAUUCCAUGUGUAGCGGUGAAAUGCGUAGAGAUGUGGAGGAACACCAGUGGCGAAGGCGACUUUCUGGUCUGUAACUGACGCUGAGGCGCGAAAGCGUGGGGAGCAAACAGGAUUAGAUACCC
rnacentral:rRNA from 1 species